rnacentral:misc_RNA from 1 species
CAGGGAUAGCAGUGGAAAGCCCGAAGUGCGUUGGCUUUGCGUGUUGGACGGACUUGGAACGGAUAGCCCGGCCCCGA